GGGGAGUACGCCGGCAACGGUGAAACUCAAAGGAAUUGACGGGGGCCCGCACAAGCGGAGGAGCAUGUGGUUUAAUUCGAUGAUACGCGAGGAACCUUACCAGGGCUUGAAAGUUAGUGACCGCUCCUGAAAGGGAGCUUCCCGCAAGGGCACAAAACUAGGUGCUGCAUGGCUGUCGUCAGCUCGUACCGUGAGGUGUUGGGUUAAGUCCCGCAACGAGCGCAACCCCUACCAUUAGUUGCCAGCGGUUCGGCCGGGGACUCUAAUGGAACUGCCCGCGCAAGCGGUGAGGAAGGUGGGGAUGACGUCGACGUCAUAACC
rnacentral:misc_RNA from 1 species